rnacentral:lncRNA from 1 species
GUGAAUGGUGUGUUUAUUUAAAUGAUUGAUAAUUAUUUACAUGAUCAGUACUGUAGAAAGGAUCAGUUCAUCUCCCUUCUACAGAAAGUGAUAUUAAUGCUGAUGGAAAAUUAUCUCUACUGAGCUGUAUUUUCAUCUCAUCUUUUCCUAUAUACAUAAUCCGAUUGUUAAAAAUUUUCCUCUUUUCAUUUGAAUUCACUGUCAUCUUUCAGACAUAUUUUUCAUUGGUUCCUUUGUUGCUGGUCUUAGAUAUCCCCUGUACAAACUUCAAACUUUUAAUUUUCCCUAAUCGACUCUGAGAAGACCAGUAGGACGAGCUGAUGAAGAGAAGAUUCAAACACUAGGUGGGCCUGUUUAUAAGAGGACCUCUCGU